rnacentral:rRNA from 1 species
UACAGAGGUCCCAAGCGUUGUUCGGAUUCACUGGGCGUAAAGGGUGCGUAGGCGGUUUGACAAGUCUGAUGUGAAAUCCCGCAGCUUAACUGCGGAACUGCAUUGGAAACUGUUUGACUAGAGGAAUGGAGGGGAGACUGGAAUACUUGGUGAAGCAGUGAAAUGCGUAGAUAUCAAGUGGAACACCGGUGGCGAAGGCGAGUCUCUGGACAUUUCCUGACGCUGAGGCACGAAAGCUAGGGGAGCAAACAGG